rnacentral:rRNA from 1 species
CGCAGCAGGCGCGAAAACUUUACAAUGCGGGAAACCGUGAUAAGGGAACACCGAGUGCCAGCAUCAUAUGCUGGCUGUCCAGAUGUGUAAACUACAUCUGUUAGCAAGGGCCGGGCAAGACCGGUGCCAGCCGCCGCGGUAACACCGGCGGCCCGAGUGGUGACCGUUAUUAUUGGGUCUAAAGGGUCCGUAGCCGGUUUGGUCAGUCCUCCGGGAAAUCUGAUAGCUUAACUGUUAGGCUUUCGGGGGAUACUGCCAGGCUUGGAACCGGGAGAGGUAAGAGGUACUACAGGGGUAGGAGUGAAAUCUUGUAAUCCCUGUGAGACCACCUGUGGCGAAGGCGUCUUACCAGAACGGGUUCGACGGUGAGGGACGAAAGCUGGGGGCACGAACCGGAUUAGAUACCCGGGUAGUCCCAGCCGUAAACUAUGCUCGCUAGGUGUCAGGCAUGGCGCGACCGUGUCUGGUGCCGCAGGGAAGCCGUGAAGCGAGCCACCUGGGAAGUACGGCCGCAAGGCUGAAACUUAAAGGAAUUGGCGGGGGAGCACAACAACGGGUGGAGCCUGCGGUUUAAUUGGACUCAACGCCGGACAACUCACCGGGAACG